AUGCCGCGUGGAAGUCAAAGCUGGGCCCCUCAGAUGAGGGCUGCUCCCAGAAGAGCACCUGCAGCUCAGCCUCCAGCAGCAGUUGCAACAUCUGCAGUUGGCUCACCUGCCGCUGAGCCCCGGCAGCCCGGCCUGAUGGCCCACCUGGCUACCACUGCGGCCGGUGUGGCUGUGGCCUCUGCAGUGGGGCACACCCAGGGUCACGCCAUCACUGGGGGCUUCAGCAGAGGCUGUAAUGCUCAGCCUGCAAAGCCCGACAUCACUUACCAGGAGCCUCAGGGAGCCCAGCUGCAGAACCAGCAGUCUUUUGGACCUUGCUCUCUAGAGAUCAAGCAGUUUCUGGAGUGUGCUCAGAACCAGAGCGAUGCCAAGCUCUGUGAGGGCUUCAAAGAGGUGCUGCGGCAGCGCAGGGCUGCAAAUGGUUUCAUCUAA
rnacentral:lncRNA from 1 species